rnacentral:rRNA from 1 species
GUGCACCAGGCGCGAAACCUCCGCAAUGCGGGAAACCGUGACGGGGUCACCCCGAGUGCCACCCGAUGAGGGUGGCUUUUCCCCGGUCUAAAAAGCCGGGGGCAAUAAGCGGGGGCAAGUCUGGUGUCAGCCGCCGCGGUAAUACCAGCCCCGCGAGUGGUCGGGACGUUUAUUGGGCCUAAAGCGUCCGUAGCCGGCUCGGUAAGUCCCUCCUUAAAUCCACGGGCUCAACCCGUGGGCUGGGAGGGAUACUGCCGGGCUAGGGGGCGGGAGAGGCCGAGGGUACUCCCGGGGUAGGGGCGAAAUCCGUUAAUCCCGGGAGGACCACCAGUGGCGAAGGCGCUCGGCUGGAACGCGCCCGACGGUGAGGGACGAAAGCUGGGGGAGCAAAGGGGAUUAGAUACCCGCGUAG